UACGUAGGCAGCGAGCGUUGUUCGGAGUUACUGGGCGUAAAGGGUGUGUAGGCGGUCCUUUAAGUUUGGUGUGAAAUCUCCCGGCUCAACUGGGAGGGUGCGCCGGAUACUGAGGGGCUAGAGUGCGGGAGAGGAGAGUGGAAUUCCUGGUGUAGCGGUGAAAUGCGUAGAUAUCAGGAGGAACACCGGUGGUGUAAACGGCUCUCUGGACCGCAACUGACGCUGAGGAGCGAAAGCCAGGGGAGCAAACGGG
rnacentral:rRNA from 1 species